GCAGCUAUGGCGGAAUUGGCAGACGCGGCAGAUUUAGGUUCUGUUGGGCAUCCCCGUGCAGGUUCAAGUCCUGUUAGCUGCA
rnacentral:tRNA from 2 species